rnacentral:rRNA from 1 species
AUUGAACGCUGGCGGCAUGCUUUACACAUGCAAGUCGAACGGUAACAGGCCUUCGGGUGCUGACGAGUGGCGAACGGGUGAGUAAUGCAUCGGAACGUGCCCAGAGGUGGGGGAUAACGCAGCGAAAGCUGUGCUAAUACCGCAUGUGAUCUGAGGAUGAAAGCGGGGGACCAGGCAGCAAUGUUUGGCCUCGCGCCUUUGGAGCGGCCGAUGUCAGAUUAGGUAGUUGGUGGGGUAAAGGCCUACCAAGCCGACGAUCUGUAGCUGGUCUGAGAGGACGACCAGCCACACUGGGACUGAGACACGGCCCAGACUCCUACGGGAGGCAGCAGUGGGGAAUUUUGGACAAUGGGCGCAAGCCUGAUCCAGCAAUGCCGCGUGCGGGAAGAAGGCCUUCGGGUUGUAAACCGCUUUUGUACGGAACGAAAAGGCUCUGGCUAAUACCUGGGGCUGAUGACGGUACCGUAAGAAUAAGCACCGGCUAACUAC